GGGGGAAGGACCUACUCUUUGGCUCUGGAACUAAACUGUAUGUAACAGAUGAGCAGGUAGUGAAGCCCGUGGUGAGCGUGUACCCAGCAGCAUCCAGAGCCCACCUGGAGGGGAAGAGCUCCCUGCUGUGUCUGG